UACGAAGGGGGCUAGCGUUGCUCGGAAUGACUGGGCGUAAAGGGCGCGUAGGCGGCUCAUACAGUCAGAUGUGAAAUUCCUGGGCUUAACCUGGGGGCUGCAUUUGAUACGUGUGGGCUUGAGUGGGGAAGAGGGUCGUGGAAUUCCCAGUGUAGAGGUGAAAUUCGUAGAUAUUCGCAAGAACACCAGUGGCGAAGGCGGCUCACUGGCCCGUUACUGACGCUGAGGCACGAAAGCGUGGGGAGCAAACAGG
rnacentral:rRNA from 1 species